CCCUUAGAUGUUCUGGGCUGCACGCGCGCUACACUGAAGCGUUCAACGAGUAUUCACCUUGCCCGGGAGGGUUGGGUAAUCUUUUGAAAACGCUUCGUGAUGGGGAUAGAUUAUUGCAAUUAUUAAUCUUCAACGAGGAAUUCCUAGUAAGCGCGAGUCAUCAGCUCGUGCUGAUUACGUCCCUGCCCUUUGUACACACCGCCCGUCGCUACUACCGAUUGAAUGAUUUAGUGAGGACUUCGGACUGGGACCGAUGCGGCUUUCGGGCUGCGUCGGUAUUCUGGAAAGAUGUCCAAACUGUAUCAUUUAGAGGAAGUAAAANUCGUAACA
rnacentral:rRNA from 1 species